GCCUGGCCCCUUCUGGCACUACCACAGAGACUUAAUCAGAGAGACUCUAUCUGUAAUCCCGGACUGCAGCAGACUGGACCUGGAUCAGACUGGAGUGUGACUCAGACUGUGUGUGUGUGCGUGUGUGUGUGUGUGUGUGCGUGUGUGUGAGAACAUCUCUGAACACGUGGAAGCAACGAAGAAGAGGACAAUGAUUAAGUGUUUAUCUGACUGUUAAUACUUUUGCGCCUUUUUUUUUCUACAAAUAAACAUAAUUUUAACAUAA